rnacentral:rRNA from 1 species
CCUACGGGAGGCAGCAGUGAGGAAUAUUGCUCAAUGGACGAAAGUCUGAAGCAGCGACGCCGCGUGAGGGAUGAAGUCCGUUUGGAUGUAAACCUCUUUUGCAGAAGAAGAAUGUUUCGAUUUCUCGAAAUUGACGGUAUUUUGCGAAUAAGCACCGGCUAACUACGUGCCAGCAGCCGCGGUAAUACGUAGGGUGCGAGCGUUGUCCGGAAUUACUGGGUGUAAAGGGUCCGCAGGCGGGCGAGUAAGUCUGUGGUGAAAUCUUACGGCUUAACCGUAAAAUUGCCACGGAAACUGCUUGCCUUGAGUGUGAAAGAGGAAGAUGGAAUUCAUGGUGUAGCAGUGAAAUGCGUAGAUAUCAUGAAGAACACCGGUAGCGAAGGCGAUCUUCUGGUUCACAACUGACGCUCAGGGACGAAAGCGUGGGGAGCAAACAGGAUUAGAUACCCUGGUAGUCCACGCCCUAAACCAUAGAUACUACGAUGUCGAGUACGAAGAGUGUGUCGUGAGCAACGACGAAGUAAGUAGUACCGACCGUACGGGAGGUACGAGUAACGUCGAGGUUAGUUAACGUACGUUAAAGGAAAGUUAGUUACGGCGUUGAGACGUUAGCGACGGACGACGACGAGGGAGGAGGAG